rnacentral:ncRNA from 1 species
CGCGUGGUGUCUGGCGUUAGGGCUGGAAGAGCGACGCGGCCUUCACUGAGGU